ACUACUAAAAAAAUAAUAUUUUUUGAAAAUGUCUCUUAAUUAUGUUUACUUGAUCUGUUUUAAGACAAAAAAACACCCCAAACAUUUUUUUACCAACUGGGAACAUAAUGCGUACCAUAGAGGGUUAAUGCACACUCAGCACCCCAUCUUGACAGAAAAAAACAGAAAUGCAGAAAUUUUUGCAAAUGUAUUAAAAAAGAAAAACUGAAAUGUCUACUCAAUACAUGCUCAGUAUUGAGUAGAAGCACCCUUUUCAGCUAGUACAGCCACGAGCCUUCUUGGGAAUGACAACAAGUUUUUUACACCUGGAUUUGGGGAUCCUCUCCAGUUCUGUCAGGUUGGAUGGUGAACGUUGCAUACAGCCAUUUUGAGGUCUCUCCAGAUGUAGAAAAGGCCCCAAAGUUGCUAGUUUAUAUCACUGUUCCUGCUGUACCUUGUUAUCUGUUCUCAGUAGUGUUCAUUGCAUUCCUAACCUUGUGGAUGGGCCUGUUCACGUGGUAGUUGUCUGGUGAGUCACGUCACACAGCGUGAGAGCGAGUGGGUGUGUGCGCUGGUCUGCUGGUUUGCGUCACUCUCGCAGGACCUUUGCUGCAGAUGGGACGUGUGUGCGUAGAUGACGGAAAACCACACACUAACCCCAGACUUGGUCUGUCUCUGUUUGAUGCUGCACAAGGAGUAAAGUACAGAAAAGUAUCAACAUCCGCCUCCUAGCCUUUGUUCACCUUAUACUCUGAGCGGCCUUAAGCGGUGCUCUGGCCGGCACUCCUGGUGUGACCCUGGUUAUCCAACCCUGAGUCAGCACCCUAUCAGACGAAUAGUGAUCCUCUACUACACCAGAGAUGCUCAAUUGGGUUUAGGUCAGGGCUCUGGCUGGGCCAGUCAAGAACGGGCCACUAUGCCAGAAAGCCCCGACUGGUGGAGGGCUGCAGUGAUAGUUGACUUUGUGGAACUUUCUCCUAUCUCCCGACUGCAUCUCUGGAGCUCAGCCACAGUGAUCUUUGGGUUCUUCUUUACCUCUCUCACCAAGGCUCUUCUCCCACGAUUGCUCAGUUUGACUGGAUGGCCAGAUCUAGGAAGAGUUGUGGUCGUCCCAAACUUCUUCCAUUUGAGGAUUAUGAAGGCCACUGUGCUCUUAGGAACCUUGAGUGCUGCAGAAAUUCUUUUGUAACCUUGGCCAGAUCUGUGCCUUGCCGCAAUUCUGUCUCUGAGCUCCUUGGGCAGUUCCUUCGACCUCAUGAUUCUCAUUUGCUCUGACAUGCACUGUGAGCUGUAAGGUCUUAUAUAGACAGGUGUGUGCCUUUCCUAAUCAAGUCCAAUCAGUUUAAUUAAACACAGCUGGACUCCAGUAAAGAAGCAGAACCAUCUCGAGGAGGAUCAGAAGAAAUGGACAGCAUGUGAGUUAAAUAUGAAUGUCGCUGCAAAGGGUCUGAAUACUUGUGACCAUGUGAUAUUUCAGUUUUUCUUUUUUAAUAAAUUUGCAAAAAUUUCUACAUUUCUGUUUUUUUCUGUCAAGGUGGGGUGCUGAGUGUACAUUAAAGAGAAAUAAAAUGAACUUUUUUGAUUUUGGUACAUGGCUGCAAUGACACAGAGUGAAAAAUUUCAAGGGGUCUGAAUACUUGCCGUACCCACUGUAUGAUUUUUCCUCUGAUAAAGGAGGGAUUGUUAAGGAAUACUGCGACUGUAUUGUUAACACUGCAAAAUUUUAAACCUGUGUAAAGGAAAUGUAUUGUUAUUUUUAUUCAAAUACAUUAAAUAAUAAUUCCUCACUACGUUCUGAACUAUAGCAAUAGAGAGUUAUAUUGUUUUUCAUCGUCUUUGUGUUCAGGAUCUUUGGGUGGGCCAGAAAUCACAGCUUGAUGAUGCACUGGAGCCAAACUUUGCAUACUUAUCCCCUCCCCAACACUAUAAUGUUAUAAAAACAAGAGAAUGGUUCUGUCGCUCUGUUGCUACACCUACUACACUCUACAGUUUGCUAGCAAGCUAUGCAAAUGUGUCAUCCCUGGAUGCCAGAAUCUGAACAGCUUGUUUUCCUUCUUUACAUUUCCUAAGAGUGAUGAGGAUGAAAAAGAGGGGGAUUAACAUCCGCCUCUGCAGUGAUUAUUUUGCACCGGGUAGUUUACAAACUUUCUUGAGGGACUACUGAGACUCCCUGAAAAUCUGCUGCUGGCCUUCAUCCUCUCAUCAGACUGACAUCUGGUGCUUUUGUAGGCAGCAAAUGCCCACCAAUGAGUUAAAGAUGCCUCGUGUACUUGGUUUAUUAUAGUACGUAACUUCGUCCACAGCUGCAUGGUGGUGGAAAUAUUGCAGAAAUGUAAAAAAUGUAAAUCAACACUUUUGUCUGACAUACCAACAAUGUUCCAGAGCAAAGAAUACUGCUUAUGAUUUUAUGACUUUGAAACCUAAUUAUAUGUACUUAGUGGCUUUUAAAUGAUUCAGAUUUGGCUGGGUGGCUAAUAUCAGUUUUCUGUGGUGUCGUAAAUUCAGAACUUAUUGCUGUUUUACAUGGAAUCUAAGGCAUUUAAGGUUUGUUUUUUAAACUGUCAACCAAACUGCUGAUCACGGUUGCUGAAGAAGAAGAAAUACAGAGCUUACACACUGUAACUUCACUGGACUAUUGAUUAAUAUUUAGCUGCUCUGUGCACAAUUGAUGCAAAUAAAAUAAAAUGUGUGCUGAAACUCGAAAGCACACAUUAACUCCUAA